rnacentral:rRNA from 1 species
UGGGGAAUUUUGGACAAUGGGCGAAAGCCUGAUCCAGCAAUGCCGCGUGUGUGAAGAAGGCCUUCGGGUUGUAAAGCACUUUUGUCCGGAAAGAAAUCCUUGGCUCUAAUACAGUCGGGGGAUGACGGUACCGGAAGAAUAAGCACCGGCUAACUACGUGCCAGCAGCCGCGGUAAUACGUAGGGUGCAAGCGUUAAUCGGAAUUACUGGGGCGUAAAGCGUGCGCAGGCGGUUUGCUAAGACCGAUGUGAAAUCCCCGGGCUCAACCUGGGAACUGCAUUGGUGACUGGCAGGCUAGAGUAUGGCAGAGGGGGGUAGAAUUCCACGUGUAGCAGUGAAAUGCGUAGAGAUGUGGAGGAAUACCGAUGGCGAAGGCAGCCCCCUGGCAAGUACUGACGCUCAUGCACGAAAGGCGUGGGGGAGCAAACAGGAUUAGAUACCCCUGGUAGUCCACGCCCCUAAACGAUGUCAACUAGUUGUUGGGGAUUCAUUUCCUUAGUAACGUAGCUAACGCGUGAAGUUGACCGCCUGGGGAGUACGGUCGCAAGAUUAAAACUUAAAGGAAUUG